rnacentral:tRNA from 2 species
GGCACCCUAGCUCAGUUGGUAGAGCAGUGGACUGAAAAUCCAUGUGUCGCUGGUUCAAUUCCGGCGGGUGCCACCA